AAAUAGGUAAGCUAAGUGAAGCUAUCGGGUUCAUACCCCGCUUAUAGAGGUAUUCCCUCUCUUAUUUA
rnacentral:tRNA from 1 species